GGGGUUAACAUGUAUACCUGUAUGGAGGUGGGUCUCUUCUGGGGUUAACAUGUAUACCUGUAUGGAGGUGGGUCUCUUCUGGGGUUAACAUGUAUACCUGUAUGGAGGUGGGUCUCUUCUGGGGUUAACAUGUAUACCUGUAUGGAGGUGGGUCUCUUCUGGGGUUAACAUGUAUACCUGUAUGGAGGUGGGUCUCUUCUGGGGUUAACAUGUAUACCUGUAUGGAGGUGGGUCUCUUCUGGGGUUAGGGUUAACAUGUAUACCUGUAUGGAGGUGGGUCUCUUCUGGGGUUAACAUGUAUACCUGUAUGGAGGUGGGUCUCUUCUGGGGUUAGGGUUAACAUGUAUACCUGUAUGGAGGUGGGUCUCUUCUGGGGUUAACAUGUAUACCUGUAUGGAGGUGGGUCUCUUCUGGGGUUAACAUGUAUACCUGUAUGGAGGUGGGUCUCUUCUGGGGUUAACAUGUAUACCUGUAUGGAGGUGGGUCUCUUCUGGGGUUAACA